rnacentral:rRNA from 1 species
AAGUCGUAACAAGGUCUCCGUUGGUGAACCAGCGGAGGGAUCAUUACUGAGUACUACACUCUCUACCCUUUGUGAACUAUUAUACCUGUUGCUUCGGCGGCGCCCGCAAGGGUGCCCGCCGGUCUCGUCAGAAUCUCUGUUUUCGAACCCGACGAUACUUCUGAGUGUUCUUAGCGAACUGUCAAAACUUUUAACAACGGAUCUCUUGGCUCCAGCAUCGAUGAAGGAACGCAGCGAAACGCGAUAUGUAAUGUGAAUUGCAGAAUUCAGUGAAUCAUCGAAUCUUUGAACGCACAUGGCGCCUUCCAGUAUCCUGGGAGGCAUGCCUGUCCGAGCGUCGUUUCAACCCUCGAGCCCCUGUGGCCCGGCGUUGGGGAUCUGCCACGGCAGGCCCCUAAAACCAGUGGCGGACCCGAAGGGCCCUCUCCUUUGCGCAGUAGCAUUCGCCUCGCAUCGGGAGUCCUCGGCGUCCUGCCUCUAAACCCCCCACAAGCCCGCUUCGGCGGCACCAAGGUUGACCUCGGAUCAGGUAGGAAUACCCGCUGAACUUAA